AUUCUGCCCAUGCGGGGAAGGAUGAGAAGCUUCGACCAAGGUUCGACUCGAGCGCCAGCGAAAGAGCGUUGCCGCAGGCAACGACCCGAAGGGCGAAGCGCGCAGCGCUGAGUAAUCCUUCCCCCACCACCA
rnacentral:sRNA from 1 species